GAUUAAGUUAUUAAGGGCGCACGGUGGAUGCCUUGGCACUAGAAGCCGAUGAAGGACGUUACUAACGACGAUAUGCUUUGGGGAGCUGUAAGUAAGCUUUGAUCCAGAGAUUUCCGAAUGGGGAAACCCAGCAUGAGUUAUGUCAUGUUAUCGAUAUGUGAAUACAUAGCAUAUCAGAAGGCACACCCGGAGAACUGAAACAUCUUAGUACCCGGAGGAAGAGAAAGAAAAUUCGAUUCCCUUAGUAGCGGCGAGCGAAAUGGGAAGAGCCCAAACCAACAAGCUUGCUUGUUGGGGUUGUAGGACACUCUAUACGGAGUUACAAAGGACGACAUUAGACGAAUCAUCUGGAAAGAUGAAUCAAAGAAGGUAAUAAUCCUGUAGUCGAAAAUGUUGUCUCUCUUGAGUGGAUCCUGAGUACGACGGAGCACGUGAAAUUCCGUCGGAAUCUGGGAGGACCAUCUCCUAAGGCUAAAUACUCUCUAGUGACCGAUAGUGAACCAGUACCGUGAGGGAAAGGUGAAAAGCACCCCGGAAGGGGAGUGAAAUAGAACCUGAAACCGUGUGCUUACAAGUAGUCAGAGCCCGUUAAUGGGUGAUGGCGUGCCUUUUGUAGAAUGAACCGGCGAGUUACGAUUUGAUGCAAGGUUAAGCAGUAAAUGUGGAGCCGUAGCGAAAGCGAGUCUGAAUAGGGCGUUUAGUAUUUGGUCGUAGACCCGAAACCAGGUGAUCUACCCUUGGUCAGGUUGAAGUUCAGGUAACACUGAAUGGAGGACCGAACCGACUUACGUUGAAAAGUGAGCGGAUGAACUGAGGGUAGCGGAGAAAUUCCAAUCGAACCUGGAGAUAGCUGGUUCUCUCCGAAAUAGCUUUAGGGCUAGCCUCAAGUGAUGAUUAUUGGAGGUAGAGCACUGUUUGGACGAGGGGCCCCUCUCGGGUUACCGAAUUCAGACAAACUCCGAAUGCCAAUUAAUUUAACUUGGGAGUCAGAACAUGGGUGAUAAGGUCCGUGUUCGAAAGGGAAACAGCCCAGACCACCAGCUAAGGUCCCAAAAUAUAUGUUAAGUGGAAAAGGAUGUGGCGUUGCCCAGACAACUAGGAUGUUGGCUUAGAAGCAGCCAUCAUUUAAAGAGUGCGUAAUAGCUCACUAGUCGAGUGACACUGCGCCGAAAAUGUACCGGGGCUAAACAUAUUACCGAAGCU
rnacentral:rRNA from 1 species